GUGGGUGAAGCUCAGUCCUACAGCACUUGCUUAGCAUGCAGGAGGCCUGGGUUUGACCCCCAGCAUCCUCC
rnacentral:tRNA from 1 species